GUCGUAACAAGGUCUCCGUAGGUGAACCUGCGGAGGGAUCAUUACACAAAUAUGAAGGCGGGCUGGAACCUCUCGGGGUUACAGCCUUGCUGAAUUAUUCACCCUUGUCUUUUGCGUACUUCUUGUUUCCUUGGUGGGUUCGCCCACCACUAGGACAAACAUAAACCUUUUGUAAUUGCAAUCAGCGUCAGUAACAAAUUAAUAAUUACAACUUUCAACAACGGAUCUCUUGGUUCUGGCAUCGAUGAAGAACGCAGCGAAAUGCGAUAAGUAGUGUGAAUUGCAGAAUUCAGUGAAUCAUCGAAUCUUUGAGCGCACAUUGCGCCCUUUGGUAUUCCAAAGGGCAUGCCUGUUCGAGCGUCAUUUGUACCCUCAAGCUUUGCUUGGUGUUGGGCGUCUUGUCUCUAGCUUUGCUGGAGACUCGCCUUAAAGUAAUUGGCAGCCGGCCUACUGGUUUCGGAGCGCAGCACAAGUCGCACUCUCUAUCAGCAAAGGUCUAGCAUCCAUUAAGCCUUUUUUUCAACUUUUGACCUCGGAUCAGGUAGGGAUACCCGCUGAACUUAAGCAUAUCA
rnacentral:rRNA from 1 species